UACAGAGGGGGCAAGCGUUAUUCGGAAUUAUUGGGCGUAAAGGGCGCGUAGGCGGCUUUGCAAGUGACGGGUGAAAUCCCUCGGCUUAACCGAGGAACUGCCUGUCAAACUGCAUGGCUUGAGACCGGGAGAGGUGAGUGGAAUUCCCAGUGUAGCGAUGAAAUGCGUAGAUAUUGGGAGGAACACCGGUGGCGAAGGCGGGUCUCUGGGCCGAUACUGACGCUGAGGAGCGAAAGCGUGGGGAGCGAACAGG
rnacentral:rRNA from 1 species